GUCUGGUGCCAGCAGCCGCGGGUAAUUCCAGCUCUGCAAAUACAUAGAAUUAUUGCUGCGGUUAGAAAGCUCAUAGUUGGAUUCGUAUCGAUACCUUGGAACCCUUCGGGUGUCUCUAUUGUUAUCGAUUUAUCGUAAUGUUCGGUUUUGAGUCCUUAACAGGAUUCUUAACAGGCAUGCAAGUUUACUUUGAACAAAUCAGAGUGCUUCAAACAGGCGUUUUCGCUUGAAUGAUCGUGCAUGGAAUAAUAGAAAAUGAUUUCGGUUCAGUUUUAUUGGUUUACGGACUGAGAUAAUGGUUAACAGAGACAAACGGGGCAUUUGUAUGGUCCCGUGAGAGGUGAAAUUCUUGGACCAUGGCCAGACAAACUACAGCGAAAGCAUUUGCCAAGAAUGUUUUUAUUAAUCAAGAACGAAAGUCAGAGGUUCGAAGGCGAUCAGAUACCGCCCUAGUUCUGACCGUAAACGAUGCCAACUAGCGAUCCGCCGAUGGAAAUUAUAUUGCCUUGGUGGGGAGCUUCCCGGAAACGAAAGUCUUCCGGUUCCGGGGGAAGUAUGGUUGCAAAGCUGAAACUUAAAGGAAUUGACGGAAGGGCACCACCAGGAGUGGAGCCUGCGGCUUAAUUUGACUCAACACGGGGAAACUCACCCGGCCCGGACACUGUGAGGAUUGACAGAUUGAUAGCUUUUUCAUGAUUCAGUGGAUGGUGGUGCAUGGCCGUUCUUAGUUCGUGGAGUGAUUUGUCUGGUUUAUUCCGAUAACGAGCGAGACUCUAACCUACUAAAUAGUUGGUACAUACUCUUAGUGUAUACAGCUUCUUAGAGGGAUUUGCGGCGUUCAGCCGAAAGAAAUUGAGCAAUAACAGGUCUGUGAUGCCCUUAGAUGUCCGGGGCUGCACGCGCGCUACACUGGCAAAAUCAACGUGCUUGUCCUACCCUGAAAGGGGCGGGUAAACCAUUGAAAAUUUGCCGUGAUUGGGAUCGGAAAUUGCAAUUAUUUUCCGUGAACGAGGAAUUCCAAGUAAGUGCGAGUCAUCAGCUCGCGUUGAUUACGUCCCUGCCCUUUGUACACACCGCCCGUCGCUGCCCGGGACUGAGCCAUUUCGAGAAAUUUGGGGACCGUUGAUUUAAUUUUUCUAAAUUACUUUGAUGGAAACCAAUUUAAUCGCAGUGGCUUGAACCGGGCAAAAGUCGUAACAAGGUAGCUGUAGGUGAACCUGCUGCUG
rnacentral:rRNA from 1 species